rnacentral:rRNA from 1 species
CAGCAGCCGCGGUAAUACGUAGGGUGCAAGCGUUAAUCGGAAUUACUGGGCGUAAAGCGUGCGCAGGCGGUUUUGUAAGUCUGUCGUGAAAUCCCCGGGCUCAACCUGGGAAUGGCGAUGGAGACUGCAAGGCUAGAAUCUGGCAGAGGGGGGUAGAAUUCCACGUGUAGCAGUGAAAUGCGUAGAUAUGUGGAGGAACACCGAUGGCGAAGGCAGCCCGCUGGGCUAAGAUUGACGCUCAUGCACGAAAGCGUGGGGAGCAAACAGGAUUAGAUACCCCCGUAGUCCCUGUCUCUUAUAC